rnacentral:rRNA from 1 species
AACGAACGUUAGCGGCGCGCCUAACACAUGCAAGUCGAGCGAGAAGGAAGCAAUUCCUGUAAAGCGGCGCACGGGUGAGUAACACGUAGGUAAUCUACCUCGAAGUGGUGGAUAACCUUCCGAAAGGAGGGCUAAUACAGCAUGAGACCACGGUUUCGAAAGAGAUUGAGGUCAAAGCGGGCCACUAUACAUAAGCUCGCGCUUCGAGAUGAGCCUGCGGCCCAUCAUGGUAGUUGGUAGGGUAAUGGCCUACCAAGCCGAAGACGGGUAGCUGGUCUGAGAGGAUGAUCAGCCACACUGGAACUGAGACACGGUCCAGACUCCUACGGGAGGCAGCAGUGGGGAAUCUUGCGCAAUGGGCGAAAGCCUGACGCAGCGACGCCGCGUGAGUGAUGAAGGCCUCGGUUGU